rnacentral:rRNA from 1 species
AGUGAACGCUGGCGGUAGGCCUAACACAUGCAAGUCGAACGGCAGCACAGGAGAGCUUGCUCUCUGGGUGGCGAGUGGCGGACGGGUGAGGAAUACAUCGGAAUCUACUCUGUCGUGGGGGAUAACGUAGGGAAACUUACGCUAAUACCGCAUACGACCUACGGGUGAAAGCAGGGGACCUUCGGGCCUUGCGCGAUUGAAUGAGCCGAUGUCGGAUUAGCUAGUUGGCGGGGUAAAGGCCCACCAAGGCGACGAUCCGUAGCUGGUCUGAGAGGAUGAUCAGCCACACUGGAACUGAGACACGGCCCAGACUCCGACGGGAGGCAGCAGUGGGGAAUAUUGGACAAUGGGCGCAAGCCUGAUCCAGCCAUACCGCGUGGGUGAAGAAGGCCUUCGGGUUGUAAAGCCCUUUUGUUGGGAAAGAAAUCCAGCUGGCUAAUACCCGGUUGGGAUGACGGUACCCAAAGAAUAAGCACCGGCUAACUUCGUGCCAGCAGCCGCCGUAA